CCCCGCACAACAGGGGACGAAAUCUCUGAAACGUAAAUUGGCCCAAUUCCUGUGAAAAUAAAGUUCAAAUAAUUUGGCGCGAAAUAGUCCAAGUCGGGACAAUAAUGGCCGCACCAGCAUUGAGCCGAAGACGCCGCCUAGCGGGAAGAAAGUUUCCGUCAAAACCCACAGAAGUUCCUCCGUUUCAAUGCUUAGUGGGUUUCCAUAUCUUUCCUGUGCAGUUGGUUCUGCCACUGAGUUGGUCGUACCGAUACUGUAUCCGUACGGAAAGAUUAAACAUACUGGGGGGAUCAAAGAAUGGCUGGGAUCAAGGCGUACCUCGUCACCAUCUGUGGAAUAUAACAAACAAAGGACGAUUAAGUGUUCGCAAUGUUGGUUCAAUUACUGCAGUUGUUGAAAUGAUUAUAACAGGCA